AGGUAGUAAUAUAAAUCAAACCUAUUCAUACCGGCGGCAUCUUAUCCUAUUAGAGGAACUUGUUUAAUAAUAGAUACUCCACUAUAUUUUUCACUUUUUUUAAAAAUUUAUAUACCGCCAUUUCAAGAACAAAUAUUAAUAAUAAUUCCUAAUAAUACAUAAUAAAUUAGGUCAAGGCAUAAUCUAUAAACAAGAAAUAAAUGAGUUACCUUAAAACAAAAUUUAAGAAAUAUUUUCAAACAAAAAUAUUCAUUCGAAUUUAACAGUAAUCCUAGAUAAUAACAAAAUAUGAACUUAUCAAAUAUGUGC
rnacentral:rRNA from 1 species